rnacentral:rRNA from 1 species
CAGUCGCCGCGGGAAUACGAAGGGUGCAAGCGUUAAUCGGAAUUACUGGGCGUAAAGCGCGCGUAGGUGGUGUUGUAAGAUGGAUGUGAAAUCCCUGGGCUCAACCUGGGAACUGCAUCCAUAACUGCCUGACUAGAGUACGGUAGAGGGUGGUGGAAUUUCCUGUGUAGCGGUGAAAUGCGUAGAUAUAGGAAGGAACACCAGUGGCGAAGGCGACCACCUGGACUGAUACUGACACUGAGGUGCGAAAGCGUGGGGAGCAAACAGGAUUAGAUACCCGUGUAGUCCCUGUCUCUUAUAC